AUACAAGUCAGAUUCCUUUUCGCAGUAGAUGAAGUUGCGAAAUGAGUCUGACUUGUAUGA
rnacentral:pre_miRNA from 1 species